rnacentral:rRNA from 1 species
AGAGUUUGAUCCUGGCUCAGAGUGAACGCUGGCGGCGUGCCUAAUACAUGCAAGUCGAACGGACAAGUAAGAGCUUGCUCUUAUGAGUUAGUGGCGCACGGGUGAGUAAUGUAUAGUUAAUCUGCCCUACACUGGAGGACAACAGUUAGAAAUGACUGCUAAUACUCCAUACUCCUUCUUAACACAAGUUAAGUCGGGAAAGUUUUUUCGGUGUAGGAUGAGACUAUAUUGUAUCAGCUAGUUGGUGAGGUAAUAGCUCACCAAGGCUAUGACGCAUAACUGGUCUGAGAGGAUGAUCAGUCACACUGGAACUGAGACACGGUCCAGACUCCUACGGGAGGCAGCAGUAGGGAAUAUUGCUCAAUGGGGGAAACCCUGAAGCAGCAACGCCGCGUGGAGGAUGACACUUUUCGGAGCGUAAACUCCUUUUGUUAGGGAAGAACAAUGACGGUACCUAACGAAUAAGCACCGGCUAACUCCGUGCCAGCAGCCGCGGUAAUACGGAGGGUGCAAGCGUUACUCGGAAUCACUGGGCGUAAAGGACGCGUAGGCGGAUUAUCAAGUCUUUUGUGAAAUCUAAUGGCUCAACCAUUAAACUGCUUGAGAAACUGAUAAUCUAGAGUGAGGGAGAGGCAGAUGGAAUUGGUGGUGUAGGGGUAAAAUCCGUAGAGAUCACCAGGAAUACCCAUUGCGAAGGCGAUCUGCUGGAACUUAACUGACGCUAAUGCGUGAAAGCGUGGGGAGCAAACAGGAUUAGAUACCCUGGUAGUCCACGCCCUAAACGAUGUAUACUAGUUGUUGCUGUGCUAGUCAUGGCAGUAAUGCACCUAACGGAUUAAGUAUACCGCCUGGGGAGUACGGUCGCAAGAUUAAAACUCAAAGGAAUAGACGGGGACCCGCACAAGCGGUGGAGCAUGUGGUUUAAUUCGAAGAUACGCGAAGAACCUUACCUGGGCUUGAUAUCCUAAGAACCUUGUAGAGAUACGAGGGUGCUAGCUUGCUAGAACUUAGUGACAGGUGCUGCACGGCUGUCGUCAGCUCGUGUCGUGAGAUGUUCGGUUAAGUCCGGCAACGAGCGCAACCCACGUAUUUAGUUGCUAACAGUUCGGCUGAGCACUCUAAAUAUACUGCCUUCGUAAGGAGGAGGAAGGUGUGGACGACGUCAAGUCAUCAUGGCCCUUAUGCCCAGGGCGACACACGUGCUACAAUGGCAUAUACAAUGAGACGCAAUAUCGCGAGAUGGAGCAAAUCUAUAAAAUAUGUCCCAGUUCGGAUUGUUCUCUGCAACUCGAGAGCAUGAAGCCGGAAUCGCUAGUAAUCGUAGAUCAGCCAUGCUACGGUGAAUACGUUCCCGGGUCUUGUACUCACCGCCCGUCACACCAUGGGAGUUGAUUUCACUCGAAGCCGGAAUACUAAACUAGUUACCGUCCACAGUGGAAUCAGCGACUGGGGUGAAGUCGUAACAAGGUAACCGUAGGAGAACCUGCGGUUGGAUCACCU